rnacentral:rRNA from 1 species
AGAGCGAACGCUGGCGGCAGGCCUAAUACAUGCAAGUCGAACGGAUCCUUCGGGAUUAGUGGCGGACGGGUGAGUAACACGUGGGAACGUACCCUUUGGUUCGGAACAACUCAGGGAAACUUGAGCUAAUACCGAAUGUGCCCUUCGGGGAAAAGAUUUAUCGCCAUUGGAGCGGCCCGCGUCUGAUUAGCUAGUUGGUAGGGUAAAGGCCUACCAAGGCUACGAUCAGUAGCUGGUCUGAGAGGAUGAUCAGCCACACUGGGACUGAGACACGGCCCAGACUCCUACGGGAGGCAGCAGUAGGGAAUCUUGCGCAAUGGGCGAAAGCCUGACGCAGCCAUGCCGCGUGAAUGAUGAAGGUCUUAGGAUUGUAAAAUUCUUUCAGCGGGACGAUAAUGACGGUACCGCAGAAGAACGCCCGGCUAACUUCACGCCAGCACGCCGC